rfam:Danaus plexippus plexippus isolate F-2 unplaced genomic scaffold DPSCF300034, whole genome shotgun sequence.
UUCUACUGGCAUUUAAUGGGUAUGAAUCUAGUGGCGCAGUGCAUUUCUGUGACUAGAUCUACACUCAUUGAUUGCUGGUAGAA